rnacentral:rRNA from 1 species
UACGUAGGGUGCGGGCGUUAAUCGGAAUUACUGGGCGUAAAGCGUGCGCAGGCGGCCUCUUAAGUCAGAUGUGAAAUCCCCGGGCUUAACCUGGGAACUGCGUUUGAAACUGGGAGGCUAGAGUGUGGAAGAGGGGGGUGGAAUUCCAGGUGUAGCAGUGAAAUGCGUAGAGAUCUGGAGGAACACCGAUGGCGAAGGCAGCCCCCCUGGGCUAACACUGACGCUCAUGCACGAAAGCGUGGGGAGCAAACAGG